GCUGAGCACGUAGCUGUUGUGACCUUUUUUCCCUGCAAGAAAAUAAACGGAGACAUAUUUGAUUCAGAGCCUUUAUUCUGAUUUUACGAUUGUCUGUGCAAAAUCUGCCAUCACAACACCAACAUGUUUGAAUGCGCUUGGAUAAAAAUGUACAUGGGGAAAGUCAGUAACAGUAUCUACGAAAGUAUCUUCGGCUACCGAAACUGAGGUCUGAGGGCACUAGGGGGCCGAGAAAAACCCCUAACCCUAGGGAAGUCCAAAACAAAAAAAAAGGGCAACCUAUCAUAAAAUAUUUAUAGAUUGUGGUCGAGAGAUGACGCGGCUAAACAGUGUUAAUAGCCGCGUCAUCUCUCGCCCACAAACAGGGUUAACACUACAGCCUUUUCUGUCAAGAUGGUGAUGCGGAUGAUUUCGUUAUGAGAAGUUGUCAAUUAACCAUUCGUGGACAAAGUUAAAGAGAUUUCUUAAAGUAAAAUACAACAGAGGGAAUCAUGUUAUAUUGCGUUUUAUAUAUUAACAGGAAGUUCUCAGUACCAAUUGAACUAUUGAACAUUGUAGGUUUCAAUCUGUCGCUAUCGUAUUGAAUACAUUUCAAUAUAAAGAUUUAAUAUUCUAUAACACAAAAUUUAUAAUACUAUUUUGACUUGCACACGUUGACAAGCAAACAGUGUGAAAGGUAACGACGUUACCUUGAAAUCCUCCGUCCUCCACAAUGCAGAUGAACAACAUACCAUGUUUGCAUACAUGUUUGUCACUCAGUCGUAACAGAGGUGAUGACUAUUUUGUUCUAGUUAAGGGUUAAAAUAGUGGUUUCUUAUGUUGAGAUUUUAUAUAUUUUGUAUUUCUAAAUAAAUUAAAAGAUUAAAAAAAAAAAAUGUUAGAUUCUAAAAAAAAACACUUGACAAGCAACAAUGAAAAAAAACAUUUCCAUGUAGGUGUCUGACUUCCCUUUCCUCUCUGACCCCAGUAUAUAAAGAGGAUGGGCAGAUAGCAAUCACUACACCACUACCGCUUGAACGCAACAAACAGAAGCUGUUUAAGAAGAGUAGAAGAACGAGACAACGCUGCAUGAUAAUGAAGUCUGUGUUUGCCCUUGUUGUCCUGUUGCAUCUCUGCGACGGCUCUACGUCAGACAUGGGGCUGAAUUCGGAGAUUAUAAUAAAACUGAAGCGUCUCAACACUCUCUUCCGUUCCGACAAAGUCGUAUUACCAGACUUGAUGCGCUUGCCAAAUAUGAGCAAAACUCCAAAUCUAUCGUCCUGUGUGAAUCGCUUUGUGACGAACCUGAAACAGGUUCUUGACAAUGUGACGGUACACGGAGACAACCAGCAUACUCUCCAUGAACUUCAGGCAAAUCUGAGGUCCGUGAAGAUGGGUGAACAGGGUCACCCCGAAUGUUACACGAAGCUUCGAGGAAAGGAGAUGAAGCCUUUUCAGUCAUAUAUCAACUUCUUCCGGAAACUAAACAACCUAAAGAAAAAAUGAAGGAUUUUUUGAUUGUUUUAUGUAGGGGUUUUUCUGUGAUUGAUGAUUAGCUAUUUUAAAAUUAAUGAACCAAAUUUUGAACCAAUUGAGGUUGUUUUAACUAAUUAUUUUUAUUUAUUAUAUUUAUGUUUACAUAUUUAUUUAUUUAUUUAUUUACAGGAAACCAGAUUCCUAUGAUGAAUCAGUCAAUAAGAUGCAACAAAGUAAUAUUCACUAUGUGAAAAACAUUAUUUCAGUAGAGAUAUUUCAGUCAAAUGAAUAAACUACUUCAAUCAUUUGUUGAGACCUUUUCUAAAUCAUUCACUGAUAUGCUUAAAGGUCCAAUGCCACACUGCUUGGAUGCACGAAGAAGGGGAAAAAACAGGUAAUUCCAUCUGCAGGGCUAUGUACUCGCACACAUGGCUCCUUGAGGAAGUAGCAGCAGUGAAGGG
ensembl:lncRNA